rnacentral:lncRNA from 1 species
GUAAAGAUCAGUAGGUUUCCUGUUACGAUCAGUAGGUUUCCUGUAAAGAUCAGUAGGUUUCCUGUUACGAUCAGUAGGUUUCCUGUUACGAUCAGUAGGUUUCCUGUAAAGAUCAGUGUAUAGAACAUUAUCUAACCACACAAGAUCAGAAGAUCCAGGAAACUGAUUUGACGGGUGUCAGACUGCAUAGUAAAUCAGGUGCUCAGAACAAGAUUUAAAAAACAGCCUAGAAACGCCUGGAGCUGUUUGGCAUCACCCCUCCACAGAACACAAAUAUCAUCAAUAUACCGUCUCCAAAUCAUGAUGUUAGGCAAGAAAACAUUUUUGAGAGGAUUGAAAAUAGACUUGUUUCUCCAUGUAACCCACAUCCAAAUCAGCAUAGUUAGGAGCCAAGGGGGAUCCCACAGCAGUACCCUUCAUCUAAAUAAAGAAAUAAUUUAGAAACAUGAAGUAGUUGUGUGUGAGUACUAUUUUAGCCAAUGGUAUAAUGCAUGCACUGGAAGGAAGUUCAUUAGGGUCACGUUGCAGAAGAAAAUGUUCCGUGGAUUCAAUACUGCCCUAGUGUGGAAUAUUAGUGUAUAACGACUCAACAUCAAAAGUAACUAACAAAG